rnacentral:rRNA from 2 species
GCCUAGCCCUAAACCUUGGUAAUAUAUCACAUACCCUACCCGCCUGGGAACUACGAGCACCAGCUUAAAACCCAAAGGACUUGGCGGUGCUUUAGACCCCCCUAGAGGAGCCUGUUCUAGAACCGAUAACCCCCGUUCAACCUCACCCUUCCUUGUUUAUCCCGCCUAUAUACCGCCGUCGUCAGCUUACCCUGUGAAGGCCUAAAAGUAAGCACAACUGGCACAACCCAAAACGUCAGGUCGAGGUGUAGCGCAUGGAGGGGGAAGAAAUGGGCUACAUUCCCUAUAUUAGGGAACACGAACGGCGCACUGAAACACGCGCCUGAAGGAGGAUUUAGUAGUAAGCGGGAAAUAGCGUGUUCCGCUGAAAUCGGCCCUGAAGCGCGC